CCAUGGGUUUUGCCUUGUGGUGGACUUGGACUUGGGUGUCUGCCGUCUGGCUCGCCUCAAAGAUGUUAGUGGGACAAGCUGCCUAUGGCCCAACGUGAUAAGUUUCGUUAGACCUGGCUCCUUAUGCCUGCUCACAACCCGCCUCUGGGCAACACUUUAUGCUAGACCUCAAAUCAGGUAGGACUACCCGCUGAACUUAA
rnacentral:misc_RNA from 1 species